rnacentral:other from 1 species
AAUGCCCUACUUUGUGCGUGCAAUAUCUGAAGUUUUGAGCCAACAGAUGUUGAAACGGGAGUCCGAUUUCUCGCAAGGGAAUGUAGACCUUACUAGUAUAAGGAAACAGGAAAUUGUGGAAGGGCACCCACCUGUGAGUACAGGUUCAACAAACUUUGGAUACGGACACGGCAAGGCGGGGUUUCU